UACGUAGGGGGCAAGCGUUGUCCGGAUUUAUUGGGCGUAAAGAGCGUGUAGGCGGCUAGGUAGGUCCGUUGUGAAAACUCGAGGCUCAACCUCGAGACGCCGAUGGAAACCAUCUGGCUAGAGUCCGGAAGAGGAGAGUGGAAUUCCUGGUGUAGCGGUGAAAUGCGUAGAUAUCGGGAGGAACACCAGUGGCGAAGGCGACUUCCUGGCCUGUUCUUGACGCUGAGGCGCGAAAGCUAGGGUAGCAAACGGG
rnacentral:rRNA from 1 species